GGAUUGUAGCUCAGUGGUGGAGUUGUUGCCUGGCAUGCGGGAGGCCCUGGGUUCAACCCUCAACACCA
rnacentral:tRNA from 1 species